rnacentral:lncRNA from 1 species
GUUUUUGGCGGGUUAAAAUAGUUCACUUGAGUUUAAAGCAUUUAUCGUAUAUCAAAUUAUUCUGCAAGCUUCUUCUGAAAAAAAUCUGCAAGCCAUAAGAGACUAAGCACGUAUGGUCAAAAUUUUUAUGGUUAAACGUCUCGACUAAAUAGUCCCUGAUCAGAUUUAAGUAUCAAAUAAUUUUCAAUGAACUAAUUUGGAUGCAUAGUGCGUACCAAAACUUUCUAAUGCUUAUCGAU